AAGGAUAGCCCAUAGAAAUGUAUUAACCCUUUAUAGUACGACUGGUUGGCAUCAACUGGUUGUUAAAACUCCGGGUGGUGGGAUGGGCGUGCGUCUGAUUAGGUAGUUGGUAGGGUAACGGCCUACCAAGCCAACGAAGUAGCUGAUGUGAGAGCAUGAUCAGCCACACGGGCACUGAGACACGGGCCCGACUCCCGGGAGGCAGCAGUAAGGAAUAUUGGUCAAUGGACGCAAGUCUGAACCAGCCAUGCCGUGAAGGAUGAAGGUCCUCUGGAUAGUAAACUUCUUUUAUCUGGGACGAAACACUGGUUCUAACCAGCUUGACGGUACCAGAGGAAUAAGCACCGGCUAACUCCGUGCCAGCAGCCGGUAAUACGGAGGGUGCAAGCGUUAUCCGGAUUCACUGGGUUUAAAGGGUGCGUAGGUGUAUGUAAGUCCGUGGUGAAAUCCUGCAGCUUAACUGCAGAACUGCCGUGGAUACUAUAUCUUGAAUAUCGUGGAGGUUAGUGGAAUAGGUCAUGUAGCGGUGAAAUGCUUAGAGAU
rnacentral:rRNA from 1 species